GAGAUGUAUCAAGUUGGCUACACAAAUUGUUUUUCCGCACUGGCCAGGUAAGAUGUACACUUUCAAUUGACUCUGCAAUCUAGUUUAUUCAAUAAAGAUGCAAAUAUUUAGUUAAUCCUACUAAGGCCUUCAUCCUAGCAGGGUAAAAGUUGAAAAUUUUCUGUGCAUGUGGACGGGUUGGCCCACAUUGAGUAAAAACAGCUUGAGUUGAGCUGCCUUUUUGCAUAACUAAAGUCAGUAGUAGCUUGAUGAUAAAAUAGAUAUCACACCUUCAAAAAUAUCCAAAUGGAUACGUUGCAAAAUAUUGGUAUUUGCUUUGGAAGACCAUAGAAAAAUAUAUAAAUAUCAAAGUAAAAAAUCAAUGAAAAAGGAUAUAUUCAGGUCUUGAACGUACAGAUAUAUUGCAAAUUUCAUGGAUUGAAUUUUGUUUUUUUUUUUCUGAUUUUUUAGAUAACCAAAUAAAAGUUUUAAAAUUUUUUAAAAAUUGAAGUCAGAAUUUAAGAAUCAAACAUGGUGAUAAGUUUUUGUUACAGUAUUAAAAUUUAUAAUUUUUUUUGUAUUUGAUGUUAUAGUAGUUAAAUUUUUAUUUUUGUAUUUGAUUGAGAUGUUUAAUUAUCCAUCUGGGAUUUGAUGACUAACAAAAAAAAUGUUAUAUUUGAUGCUAUAGUAGUUAAAUUUUCAGAAAAGAUUGGUAGCUCGAAUCUGUGGCUCGAAAAAUGGCUCAAAUUUUAUAUGCACUCACAUAUCUUUCUACACCUCCAUUGUUCAUCUCAGUUUACCUUUCACAUAUCUUUAAUGUUAUGAAAUUGUACUUUGUAGUUCUAAUUUAAGCUCAUUUACUUGACUAUGUUAGUCUCAUUUAUAGGGGCUGCUAUGAUUUUCCAUGGGUUUUAAUACUUUAUUGCAAGCCAGUAAUGGAAAUUUCAAUUUUUCAUUUCUUUCAGUGACCGGACAAAAUAUUAUUUGUUGGCAUCCUUUGUUCUACACAUAAAGCAUAGUGAGUCCAAGGAUUCUGCUAUAAGCCCAAGAAUUUUGUUGUCUGAUCCUGCAGGUGAACAAGACCAUCUCCUUGUCCUAGAACAUUUUACGAUCUCUCUUACUCAAAAUAAGUUUGAGUCUAUGAGUGGAGAGGUUUUUGAGUGAUUUUUACCCAAAUUUAAAUUUGAUAUAGGUUUCAGUCAAGGGUUGGAGAUGCCAUUAUAUCACUGUGUAUUCUAUAUUUAAUUUUCGUUUUGAGACUGAAUAGUUAUUGUUUGUCUUUUAUUUGUAAAUAUUUUAGAUUCAUCAUGCUAUGACAGCUCAUUUAUCUCACUAUUUUGUAUAUACGGGCCAUAAUUUGUAUCUAACGGGAAAUCAACUAAGGAGUGACUGCAGUGAUGUCCCGAUCAUACAAGCAUUGCAGAGAGGUGUUAGAGUAUUUGAACUGGAUAUCUGGCCGAGUUCCACAAAAGAUAAUGUCAAUGUUCUUCAUGGAAGGAAACUCUGGCCAACCUCCCAAGCGUUUAGAAGUUUCUAGGAGCUCAAAUAGAGAAGAUGAUGAAGAAUGGUCGCUGAUAUCUGAAAUGCACUCAAGGUUAGAAAUUUCUUAGAGAGAUGCAAAAUAUGGUCAAAGAAUUCAAGAAUUUAAUUUUUCA